UCGGCAUUUACUUUUGCUGGUAUCUCUGCAAAAUAUCUGUUUGUUAGCUGAUAUUUCAGCAAAUAGUUAUUUGUUAGCUGAGUCUCGGCAAUUGUUUUACUGAAUCUAAGCAAAAUAAAUUGCAGAACUACUCGGCUGUUGGAAUCUCGGCGAAAAAAAUUAAGUUGUUCAUGGCCUCAAAAAAGACCAUAUGCAAAAUUUGGACUCAAUCGGAAUUGAUUUAGGGAAGCAGCAAAGGGGUUCAAAGUUGGAACUAAUUUCAUUUGUGGUAAGGGGUAUGGGAAUUUACGUAUUCUCGUCAAUCUAAGCAGCGUC